GAUGAACGCUGGCGGCGUGCUUAACACAUGCAAGUCGAACGGUGAAGGCGGAGCUUGCUCUGCUGGAUCAGUGGCGAACGGGUGAGUAACACGUGAGCAAUCUGCCCCUGACUCUGGGAUAAGCGCUGGAAACGGCGUCUAAUACUGGAUACGAGCUGCGAAGGCAUCUUCAGCAGCUGGAAAGAACUUCGGUCAGGGAUGAGCUCGCGGCCUAUCAGCUUGUUGGUGAGGUAACGGCUCACCAAGGCGUCGACGGGUAGCCGGCCUGAGAGGGUGACCGUCCACACUGGGACUGAGACACGGCCCAGACUCCUACGGGAGGCAGCAGUGGGGAAUAUUGCACAAUGGGCGAAAGCCUGAUGCAGCAACGCCGCGUGAGGGACGACGGCCUUCGGGUUGUAAACCUCUUUUAGCAGGGAAGAAGCGAAAGUGACGGUACCUGCAGAAAAAGCGCCGGCUAACUACGUG
rnacentral:rRNA from 1 species